rnacentral:rRNA from 1 species
UACGUAGGGUGCAAGCGUUGUCCGGAAUUAUUGGGCGUAAAGAGUUCGUAGGCGGUUUGUCGCGUCCGUUGUGAAAGCUUGGGGCUCAACCCCAAGCCUGCAGUGGAUACGGGCAGACUAGAGGUAGGUAGGGGAGAAUGGAAUUCCCGGUGUAGCGGUGAAAUGCGCAGAUAUCGGGAGGAACACCGGUGGCGAAGGCGGUUCUCUGGGCCUUACCUGACGCUGAGGAGCGAAAGCGUGGGGAGCGAACAGG